UACAGAGGUCCCAAGCGUUGUUCGGAUUCACUGGGCGUAAAGGGUGCGUAGGCGGUUGGGUAAGUCUGUUGUUAAAUCUCCGGGCUCAACCCGGAAAUGGCAUUGGAUACUAUCUAGCUCGAGGAUCGGAGGGGGGACUGGAAUUCUUGGUGUAGCAGUGAAAUGCGUAGAUAUCAAGAGGAACACCAGUGGCGAAGGCGAGUCCCUGGACGAUUCCUGACACUGAGGCACGAAAGCUAGGGGAGCAAACAGG
rnacentral:rRNA from 1 species